CGAGGGCACGCCUGCCUGGGCGUCACUC
rnacentral:rRNA from 1 species